rnacentral:rRNA from 1 species
AUGCCAAUGUCAUCAUGGCAACAUAUGAAGAUGUGCUCCUUGGUGAUGUCCAAGUGUACCCGGAGAAGGGGACUGUUGCGUUCUCUGCUGGUUUGCAUGGGUGGGCUUACAAACUUUGCCAAGAUGUAUGCUUCCAAGUUUGGAGUUGAUGAGGCGAAGAUGAUGGAGAGGCUGUGGGGUGAGAACUUCUUUGACCCAGCCACAAAGAAAUGGACCUCCAAGAACACCGGGACAGCUACCUGCAAGAGAGGUUUUGUUCAGUUUUGCUACGAGCCAAUCAAGCAAAUCAUAGCCACCUGCAUGAAUGAUCAGAAGGAUAAGUUGUGGCCUAUGUUGAAGAAGCUUGGUGUGACCAUGAAGAAUGAUGAGAAGGACUUGAUGGGCAAGGCUCUCAUGAAGCGUGUGAUGCAAACUUGGCUGCCUGCCAGUCGUGCUCUGCUUGAGAUGAUGAUAUUUCAUCUCCCUUCUCCUUCAAAGGCACAGAGGUAUCGUGUGGAGAACUUAUACGAGGGCCCCCUUGAUGAUAUAUAUGCUAAUGCUAUCAGAAAUUGUGACCCUGACGGUCCUCUUAUGCUGUAUGUCUCCAAGAUGAUUCCAGCAUCUGACAAGGGUAGAUUCUUUGCCUUUGGACGUGUUUUCGCUGGGAGGGUUGCAACUGGCAUGAAGGUCCGUAUCAUGGGACCUAACUUUGUUCCUGGCCAGAAGAAGGAUCUGUAUGUGAAAAGUGUCCAGCGUACUGUUAUCUGGAUGGGAAAGAAGCAAGAGUCUGUUGAGGAUGUUCCCUGUGGUAACACUGUUGCUUUGGUUGGUUUGGAUCAGUUCAUCACCAAGAAUGCAACCCUGACAAAUGAGAAGGAAGUUGAUGCCUGCCCAAUCAGGGCAAUGAAGUUCUCUGUGUCCCCUGUUGUGCGUGUUGCUGUUCAGUGCAAGGUGGCUUCUGAUCUUCCUAAGCUUGUUGAGGGUUUGAAGCGUCUUGCCAAGUCUGAUCCUAUGGUUCUCUGUACCAUUGAAGAGUCUGGUGAGCAUAUCAUUGCUGGAGCUGGAGAGCUUCAUCUUGAAAUCUGUCUGAAGGAUCUGCAGGAUGACUUCAUGGGUGGUGCUGAAAUUAUUGUUUCCCCUCCUGUUGUCUCCUUCCGUGAGACUGUUCUGGAGAAGUCCUGCCGGACCGUCAUGAGCAAGUCCCCCAACAAGCAUAACCGUCUUUACAUGGAGGCUCGCCCAUUGGAGGAGGGACUGGCUGAGGCUAUUGAUGAUGGCCGAAUUGGCCCACGUGAUGAUCCUAAGGUGCGCUCCAAGAUCCUGUCUGAGGAGUUUGGUUGGGACAAGGAUCUCGCCAAGAAGAUUUGGUGCUUUGGACCUGAGACUACUGGCCCCAACAUGGUUGUCGACAUGUGUAAGGGAGUGCAGUAUCUCAAUGAAAUCAAGGACUCUGUUGUGGCUGGGUUCCAGUGGGCAUCAAAGGAAGGUGCAUUGGCUGAGGAGAACAUGCGUGGCAUUUGCUUUGAGGUCUGUGAUGUUGUUCUGCACACUGAUGCUAUUCACAGGGGUGGUGGUCAGGUCAUCCCAACGGCUAGGAGGGUCAUUUACGCUUCUCAGCUCACUGCUAAGCCAAGGCUGCUGGAGCCCGUCUACCUGGUUGAGAUCCAGGCCCCGGAGAAUGCGCUUGGUGGUAUCUAUGGUGUUCUGAAUCAGAAGAGAGGUCACGUGUUCGAGGAGAUGCAGAGGCAAGGUACCCCGCUCUACAACAUCAAGGCCUACCUGCCUGUCAUUGAGUCCUUCGGGUUCUCGAGCACCCUCAGGGCUGCGACGUCCGGUCAGGCUUUCCCCCAGUGUGUGUUUGACCACUGGGACAUCAUGGCUUCCGAUCCUUUGGACCCUGGGACCCAGUCGGCGACGCUUGUCACCGAGAUCCGCAAGAGGAAGGGUCUCAAGGAACAGAUGACUCCCCUAUCCGAUUUUGAGGACAAGCUCUAA